GAAGUUCUCAGAAGAUGGUGGAAAUGAUAGGGUAAAAUAUGGUUUAUCAUCAAUGCAAGGAUGGCGUGCAACAAUGGAAGAUGCUCAUGCAACAAUACCUGAUUUGGAUACUUCAACAUCCUUUUUUGGUGUCUACGAUGGUCACGGAGGUAAAGUUGUUGCUAAAUUCUGUGCCAAGUAUCUACAUCAACAAGUGCUCAAGCAUGAAGCAUAUUUACAUGGUGAUAUAGGAACUUCGGUCCAGAAAGCUUUUUUCAGGUUAAUUGCUUGAGGUUUUGGGUUCUAGAAUUGACUAUAUAACAUCCUGAGAACUCUAUGGGUGUCUUUCAGUAUGUAAUUAUUUUCUUUAUUUUAACGUUUUAGUUAUUUAAACAGAGACUGAUUCUACAUGUAUAUUUUCGUGGUCCUUUUCAAUUAGCAUCUCUUUUAGGUAUGGGAUAAGAAGGUUACUAGGAAGGAUUCAUGAAAACAUACACUACUUUCCUUGUAGCUCCUGA